UACGGAGGGUGCAAGCGUUAUCCGGAUUUAUUGGGUUUAAAGGGUGCGUAGGCGGUUAUUUAAGUCAGUGGUGAAAGUUUUCGGCUCAACCGGAAAUUGCCAUUGGUACUGGGUAGCUAGAAUAUGGUUGCUGUGAGUAGAAUGUGUGGUGUAGCGGUGAAAUGCAUAGAUAUCACACAGAAUACCGAUUGCGAAGGCAUCUCACAAAGCCAUCAUUGACGCUGAGGCACGAAAGUGUGGGGAUCAAACAGGAUUAGA
rnacentral:rRNA from 1 species